GUGGGGAAUAUUGGACAAUGGGCGCAAGCCUGAUCCAGCCAUGCCGCGUGAGUGAUGAAGGCCUUAGGGUUGUAAAGCUCUUUUGUCCGGGAAGAUAAUGACUGUACCGGAAGAAUAAGCCCCGGCUAACUUCGUGCCAGCAGCCGCGGUAAUACGAAGGGGGCUAGCGUUGUUCGGAAUCACUGGGCGUAAAGCGCACGUAGGCGGACCAUUAAGUCAGGGGUGAAAGCCUGGAGCUCAACUCCAGAACUGCCUUUGAUACUGAUGGUCUCGAGUAUGGAAGAGGUUGGUGGAACUGCGAGUGUAGAGGUGAAAUUCGUAGAUAUUCGCAAGAACACCGGUGGCGAAGGCGGCCAACUGGUCCAUUACUGACGCUGAGGUGCGAAAGCGUGGGGAGCAAACAGGAUUAGAUACCAUAGUAGUCC
rnacentral:rRNA from 1 species